UACGUAGGGUGCGAGCGUCGUCCGGAAUUACUGGGCGUAAAGAGCUCGUAGGUGGUUUGUCGCGUUGUCCGUGAAAACUCACAACUCAAUUGUGGGCGUGCGGGCGAUACGGGCAGACUGGAGUACUGCAGGGGAGACUGGAAUUCCUGGUGUAGCGGUGGAAUGCGCAGAUAUCAGGAGGAACACCGGUGGCGAAGGCAGCUCGCUGGGACGGUACUGACGCUGAGGUGCGAAAGCGUGGGGAGCAAACAGG
rnacentral:rRNA from 1 species